rnacentral:rRNA from 1 species
AGAGUUUGAUCAUGGCUCAGAUUGAACGCUGGCGGCAGGCCUAACACAUGCAAGUCGAGCGGCAGCGACUUAACUGAACCUUCGGGGAACGUUAAGGGCGGCGAGCGGCGGACGGGUGAGUAAUGCCUGGGAAUAUGCCCUGAUGUGGGGGAUAACUAUUGGAAACGAUAGCUAAUACCGCAUAAUCUCUUCGGAGCAAAGAGGGGGACCUUCGGGCCUCUCGCGUCAGGAUUAGCCCAGGUGGGAUUAGCUUGUUGGUGAGGUAAUGGCUCACCAAGGCAACGAUCCCUAGCUGGUCUGAGAGGAUGAUCAGCCACACUGGAACUGAGACACGGUCCAGACUCCUACGGGAGGCAGCAGUGGGGAAUAUUGCACAAUGGGGGAAACCCUGAUGCAGCCAUGCCGCGUGUGUGAAGAAGGCCUUCGGGUUGUAAAGCACUUUCAGUAGGGAGGAAGGUAGUGUAGUUAACACCUGCAUUAUUUGACGUUACCUACAGAAGAAGCACCGGCUAACUCCGUGGCAGCAGCCGCGGUAAUACGGAGGGUGCGAGCGUUAAUCGGAAUUACUGGGCGUAAAGCGCAUGCAGGCGGCCUGUUAAGUCAGAUGUGAAAGCCCGGGGCUUAACCUCGGAAUUGCAUUUGAAACUGGCAGGCUAGAGUCUUGUAGAGGGGGGUAGAAUUUCAGGUGU